rnacentral:rRNA from 1 species
ACGCUGGCGGCGUGCCUAAUACAUGCAAGUAGAACGCUGAAGAGAGGAGCUUGCUCUUCUUGAAUGAGUUGCGAACGGGUGAGUAACGCGUAGGUAACCUGCCUUGUAGCGGGGGAUAACUAUUGGAAACGAUAGCUAAUACCGCAUAACAGUGGGUGACACAUGUCAUUUAUUUGAAAGGGGCAAUUGCUCCACUACAAGAUGGACCUGCGUUGUAUUAGCUAGUAGGUGAGGUAACGGCUCACCUAGGCGACGAUACAUAGCCGACCUGAGAGGGUGAUCGGCCACACUGGGACUGAGACACGGCCCAGACUCCUACGGGAGGCAGCAGUAGGGAAUCUUCGGCAAUGGGGGCAACCCUGACCGAGCAACGCCGCGUGAGUGAAGAAGGUUUUCGGAUCGUAAAGCUCUGUUGUAAGUCAAGAACGAGUGUGAGAGUGGAAAGUUCACACUGUGACGGUAGCUCACCAGAAAGGGACGGCUAACUACGUGCCAGCAGCCGCGGUAAUACGUAGGUCCCGAGCGUUGUCCGGAUUUAUUGGGCGUAAAGCGAGCGCAGGCGGUUUGAUAAGUCUGAAGUUAAAGGCUGUGGCUCAACCAUAGUUCGCUUUGGAAACUGUCAAACUUGAGUGCAGAAGGGGAGAGUGGAAUUCCAUGUGUAGCGGUGAAAUGCGUAGAUAUAUGGAGGAACACCGGUGGCGAAAGCGGCUCUCUGGUCUGUAACUGACGCUGAGGCUCGAAAGCGUGGGGAGCGAACAGGAUUAGAUACCCUGGUAGUCCACGCCGUAAACGAUGAGUGCUAGGUGUUGGAUCCUUUCCGGGAUUCAGUGCCGCAGCUAACGCAUUAAGCACUCCGCCUGGGGAGUACGACCGCAAGGUUGAAACUCAAAGGAAUUGACGGGGGCCCGCAC